UAGGGAAUCUUCGGCAAUGGGGGGAACCCUGACCGAGCAACGCCGCGUGAGUGAAGAAGGUUUUCGGAUCGUAAAGCUCUGUUGUUAAGGAAGAACGAGUGUGAGAAUGGAAAGUUCAUGCUGUGACGGUACUUAACCAGAAAGGGACGGCUAACUACGUGCCAGCAGCCGCGGUAAUACGUAGGUCCCGAGCGUUGUCCGGAUUUAUUGGGCGUAAAGCGAGCGCAGGCGGUUAGAAAAGUCUGAAGUGAAAGGCAGUGGCUCAACCAUUGUAGGCUUUGGAAACUGUUUAACUUGAGUGCAGAAGGGGAGAGUGGAGUUCCAUGUGUAGCGGUGAAAUGCGUAGAUAUAUGGAGGAACACCGGUGGCGAAAGCGGCUCUCUGGUCUGUAACUGACGCUGAGGCUCGAAAGCGUGGGGAGCGAACAGG
rnacentral:rRNA from 2 species